AAAAAAAAAAAAAAAAAAAAAUAGUUCAGAAUUCACAUUCAGAUGAAAGCUGAGUCGCAACUCGUUUUUCUGGAAAUUGGAACAAAACCUUGUCACACAGCUCACGAAAGACGAAACUCUCACGGCGGCCCUCCUCUCCCGUCUCCGCCCCGGCGUCACCAAUCAGCGCGGCAGCGCCGCUCGUAUCUGAGUUUUUGUCUAACUUUCGGGGCUCGUCUCUCUCUGUCUCUUCAUCUAAUUUGGACAUGUCAUGAUGCCAUUUGAAUUGUUGACCGGACACAUCAUCAUGCCACUCUCUGCUUCAACUCUUGGAUCUUCAUCGCUGGGACGAGUUUGUUUUGCUUCGAACAGUAGAUUUCGACAAUCGGCAACACCACGCCUACUGCCACCCCACCCCCGGAGACCGGAGUCUGAAACUGUGACCCAGCUCCUAGCCCACAUAAUGCUCCUUCUUCAGCACUGCACCGCCAUGCUGGCUGCCCUAGAUGCGGGGCUCCACUUGAAGGCCAUCGGCCACUUCUCCAAAAUCGUUGAAGGCCAGCACGGCGCCCCGCAAGGCUUACUGGCGGGGUGCUACAUACACAGAGUUGCGGAGCAUUGCUUUGCGGGCCGAAUCACGGAUUCAAUCGCCGAGGAAUACCCAUUAACGAGAAUGUGGGAAUGAACGAGGGUCUCGAGUCGAAGAAGGGAAAGAUCGGCGCAUGCCUUGAUGAUGGAGGUGAAGGUGUAGGAGGAAGGGGCAAUGCCAGAGAGGAGCAUGCGGCGGUAGAAAACGACGGCGUUAAGGGAAAAACCAAAUUUUGAAGAGGCUUUGAUGAGGGAAUUGAAGAGAAAAGGAUUUGGGUGGGUGAGGGAGCUGAAGAGUCUGCGAGUGUAGGCGAUGGAAUCGGCAGCGCAGGAUAGCGUGAGGAGCUUGGUGAGGAGAGCACGGUUGCGGUGGGAGCCUGUGAUGACAAGGUGAGCAUGAGCUUGGCGAUUGAAUCCGCGAUUCGGCCCAUGGAACGGUGCGCGGCAACCUGAUGACGAAGAUCCAGGAGCUGAAGCUGAGAGUGGCAUGAUGACGUGUUCAACUAAUACACGUGUCACUACGUCAAUGGAUAGAAAAGAGAAAGGGCACCGAAACCCCCUGCUUAGAAGGGGCACCAAAGGAAUCCUCAAAUAUUUAUAGCUGAAUAGGGUUCUAAUUUGAUCUGCUUGAUGACUUGAUAAUAUCAGUUUGACAAUCUACUGUGGGUUUUCAGUUGAGAAGCAAAGCAUGUGAAAUUGAACUGAGAUAUUUAAUAAAUAUAUCUUCAUUUGGUGUUUUUUUUAACUUGACAUAUUAUUUUAGCGUUUAUCUUAAUUUGGUGUUUGUGUGCAUAGAUAUACAUUUGAUAAAUAAGAAAUAAGAUAUUUAAGACAUCCUAUGCAUUGCGUGUAGUAUGGAUUUAUAGUCAUACUUUAUUUAUUUAUUAACUGAAAAGGAAAAACCUAUAUAUUCAGUCAUUGAACUUUUGCAUCGAGUGAUCAGAUAAAUGAGGGUCCAACAGCUAGUACACUGUAGCAUGACUUAUGCAUUGAAAUGAAAAGCCUAUAUAUUUAUGUCUCGUUAUCUAUUGUUUUCUCUGGCUUUAAGUGGUAUGCUAUCUUAUAUUGUUAUUUGCAACUUGCUGCAUAUUGUCGUGCUUAUAUUGUAAUCCCAUUUCAUACACCUUCCUUCCCAUAGAAGGUUCGACUCCUUACAGCAUUUAAGAAGGAAAUUAAAAGAGAAUUCCUUGUUUUUAAAAAUAUCCCUCUAAAAUAAUGACUACUGGAUGGUCCAUGGGUGGGCUACGGCCAGCCUACUUGAG